rnacentral:rRNA from 1 species
GGUGGCAAGCGUUGUCCGGAAUUAUUGGGCGUAAAGGGCUCGCAGGCGGUUUCUUAAGUCUGAUGUGAAAGCCCCCGGCUCAACCGGGGAGGGUCAUUGGAAACUGGGGAACUUGAGUGCAGAAGAGGAGAGUGGAAUUCCACGUGUAGCGGUGAAAUGCGUAGAGAUGUGGAGGAACACCAGUGGCGAAGGCGACUCUCUGGUCUGUAACUGACGCUGAGGAGCGAAAGCGUGGGGAGCGAACAGGAUUAGAUACCCUGGUAGUCCACGCCGUAAACGAUGAGUGCUAAGUGUUAGGGGGUUUCCGCCCCUUAGUGCUGCAGCUAACGCAUUAAGCACUCCGCCUGGGGAGUACGGUCGCAAGACUGAAACUCAAAGGAAUUGACGGGGGCCCGCACAAGCGGUGGAGCAUGUGGUUAAUUCGAAGCACGCGAAGAACCUUACCAGGUCUUGACUCCUCUGACAUCCUAGAGAAGGACGUCCCUUCGGGGCAAAUGACGGUGUGAUGGUUGCCUCACUCGU